GUGCUUUUAUCUAAUCAAGUAUAGAACUUUCAUAUAUACUGUACUGUCGUGGACUUGAAGGAAUGCCAUUUCUCCCUCCAGAAAUGUCACUGAUCUGCUAUGGUGUGAAGAAAUAAGUUUCUUAUUUAUUUUAAUCUUGAAGUUUUAUCCUGUUUUCUAGCUUAAGUUUUAGCAGCACAUAGUUAAAACAUGAUUUAAUUGCUACAAACAUACUAAAAUACUUUUGGGAUAUACUUCUUUCAUGUACUCAAGUAUACCUAAUAUACCUAAAUGUCUAUUGUUUCUUGCUCGCCUUGCUGCUGCCAUGUUUGUUUAAAAAGUAAAGCAUUUGGUGCUUCCUAGCAGUCUACUGAUGAAUCAUACCAUUCUUGGAAAUAUUGGCAAGCAACUGAUAUUAUUUCUGUAAUUUAGUGAGCAAUAUUUACAUUCAAGUAUUUAACCUAUCUGCACUAAACUUUGCAGUAGCAUUUUGUUUUAAUAUUGGAAAGUAGCAGAAAACUAGCUCCCUGAAGUUUUUUUUAGGAUGGGGGGAAGUCACAGAUUAUUGAGGCACCAGUUUGAAAAUGACAUGCGAGUCCACAUGAUAGAAGUACAAGGUGUUAGUUAGAAGUGAUGUUUGAAAAUUGAAAGGCUCUCGAGAGUUAAGCAAAUCCUGUGUUAGGCUGCAUGUUUGCUAAGUGCAUCAAUUGACUCUUUGAGUCUUUUGUAGCAUGCAAUUGUUUAUCCUCUCAGAUAGUUGUUGAGAUUUUCAAAUGGUCAAUGCUAAAACUGCAGCUUAGAUACAACUAUAUGUCUCUAGAUGACUAAGUUAUCACAGGAUGUUUGUUUUACUCGUAGAUGCUGCUGCUGGCAGUUUUUCUUGAAUGCCAGCCAAAGUUUAUGUCUUUUAAACCUUAAUGGACCUAACUAUAUGUCUCUAAUGACUAAGUUAUCACGGGAUGUAUGUUUGUACCCAAGCCCUGAUACGUGGAGCAGCAUAAGAUGAGCCAUUUAUAAAUAUUGUUGCUGAAACUCUAGAAGAUAAUGGAUCGAAAUCCUUGAGUUUUGUUCCAUUCCCCUGAUGAUACUUGCAAUCUUAUUAAUGAGAACUUGGGGAGUGACAAUAGAGCUUAUAUAUAAAUGCAAACUACAAAUAUUUUGUUUGUGCUUAAUUUGACCACUAAAUAACAAUAGUUUAAGGGCUAGUGAUUGAAAUUAAUAGAUUCUAGAUUGCUCCUCCCUUUUGAUAUCAUUAUAAUCAGCCUGGUCUCUUCUCAGUUCACAAGAUGCCAUGUGUAAUGCACCACCGCAAAUUUUGUGGAACUGUUACAUUUCUGUAUAACAGCAUGAACUGUGUGAUUGUGCUUAGCUGCAGUUCUAUAGCAAGCUGUUUUCUGUGUCUUAACUUUAAGCACUGACAAUGAAAAAAUUGUAGGCUUGUACAGACGCAUCUGUGAUAUUGACAUAAUAUCCAGAAGUUAUAUAUCUAGCAUGCUCAUGUUUUUCAAAACACCUGUUAUUAAUUGUGGGCUGAUUGAUCCUGUGAGUCUUGCACAUCCAACAAAAUUGUGGACUCUGCAAGUUCUCAAUUUCACCGAGCCUAUAGAUAGCUUAGGUGGCAGUAUCAAGGUUUUCAUGCAUUACCUUUGCGUGCAUGAAUUCAGGAAGCUGCUGUACAUUCACAGGCCUGCACAUACCUCAUGCCCUAGAGGUUUACUGUUGUGCCUUGGAGUUUAUUUAAUUGAUCGAGUUUGGUAGUUAUUAAUUUUAUCUUAUGUUCCUUUUUUUGUCUGUUUGUUCUUUUAUUUUGAAUUGAGUAUGUGACUUUUUUCUUUAAUAUUUCCUUUCAGUAUCACCCAAGUCCGAGGCUUGCGGUUGCAGGAGAUGACAUUAGAACUUAGAAGAAUACGAGAAAUUACUGGAGGAGAAGAGGAAAGCUUUACUCAGACUGAAGACGGAAGAAAGGUUGAGGUGGACAAGGAGUUCGCAGUCCACGCAACAACUUUAAGGGAAAAGGGGCACUGAUGAAAUCUUCAUCAAGCUGGGUCUGACAAGGACAAAAAGAAAGAAAAUGCUGAAAGGGAUGACGGUGCCAAGAAGUCUGUCACUGUCAGCAUCAAUGAGUUCCUGAAGCCAGCAGAGGGCGAAAGGUGCUCCACUACACUCCUGAUGGGCGCGGUCAUCAGAGACGAUGGCGGCCACGGUGGAUUCCGUGGCGGUUACAGGCUUACAGCCCUCGCGUGAACCAGCUGCUCCCGCGCCGGCAAUUCAAGAUCAAUCGCAGUUUCCCUCGCUCGCCAGGUGGGAAGUGAGUCUGAGCUCGCAACCUGCUAUGAACUCGUUGCAUGUGUGUGGGAAUUGCUCGAUAGACGUCUAAGAAACUGUCAUUCAGCGUCAACUACUGGUCUACUGUACUGUUGGUUUGGUAUCUACCGCCGCAUCUGCGUCGUAUCCCGCGUGUACAUCUGGGCCACAGCUUGUCUGUCCCCCUUGCAUGUCUCCAUUCGUGUCUCCGAACAAACAUAUCGAUUUGUUCCCCCACAACCUUGAUUUCUGGUGCAAGAUCACGAUGGCCACAGCUUGUCUGUCCCCCUUACAUGUCUCCAUUCGUGUCUCCGAACACGUGUAACCUAUCGAUUUGUUCCCCACAACCUUGAUUUCUGGUGCAAGAUCACGGUUAAGGCGGUGA